rnacentral:tRNA from 1 species
GCCUGGGUGGCUCAGUCAGUUGAGUGUCUGACUUCAACUGGGUCAUGAUCUCACAAUUUGUGGGUUCGAGCCCCGCAUCGGGCU